UACGAAGGGUGCAAGCGUUAAUCGGAAUUACUGGGCGUAAAGGGUGCGUAGGCGGUUCGUUAAGUCUGUUGUGAAAUCCCCGGGCUCAACCUGGGAAUGGCAAUGGAUACUGGCGGGCUAGAGUGUGUCAGAGGAUGGUGGAAUUCCCGGUGUAGCGGUGAAAUGCGUAGAGAUGUGGAGGAACACCGAUGGCGAAGGCAGCCCCCUGGGUCAAGACUGACGCUCAUGCACGAAAGCGUGGGGAGCAAACAGG
rnacentral:rRNA from 1 species